rnacentral:rRNA from 1 species
UGGGGAAUAUUGCACAAUGGGCGCAAGCCUGAUGCAGCCAUGCCGCGUGUAUGAAGAAGGCCUUCGGGUUGUAAAGUACUUUCAGUCGGGAGGAAGGUGGUAAGGUUAAUAACCUUGGCAAUUGACGUUACCGACAGAAGAAGCACCGGCUAACUCCGUGCCAGCAGCCGCGGUAAUACGGAGGGUGCAAGCGUUAAUCGGAAUUACUGGGCGUAAAGCGCACGCAGGCGGUUGAUUGAGUCAGAUGUGAAAUCCCCGGGCUUAACCCGGGAAUUGCAUCUGAUACUGGUCAGCUAGAGUCUUGUAGAGAGGGGUAGAAUUCCAUGUGUAGCAGUGAAAUGAGUAGAGAUGUGGAGGAAUACCGGUGGCGAAGGCGGCCCCCUGGACAAAGACUGACGCUCAGGUGCGAAAGCGUGGGGAGCAAACAGG